UCUGGACAAUGGGGGGGGCGUGAUGCAGCUAUCGGCGCUGCGGAAGAAGCCUUCAGGUUGUUUACAAAAAUAUACGGACCCCCACCCCCCCCUGCUUAUACCUGGGGCUAUGACGGUCCGUAAGAAUAAGCACGGCUAACUACGUGCCAGCAGCCGCGGUAAUACGUAGGGUGCAAGCGUUAUUGGAAUUACUGGGCGUAAAGCGUGCGCAGGCGGGUUUUGUAAGACAGGCGUGAAAUCCCUUGGUGUUAACCUGGGAAUGGGCUUGGACUGCAAAGCUGGAGUGCGGCAGAGGGGGAUGGAAUUCCGCGUGUAGCAGUAAAUGCGUAGAUAUGCGGAGGAACACCGAUGGCGAAGGCAAUCCCCUGGCCUCACUACGCUCAUGCACGAGG
rnacentral:rRNA from 1 species